rnacentral:rRNA from 1 species
GACGAACGCUGGCGGUGUGCUUAACACAUGCAAGUCGAACGGUAAGGCCCUUUCGGGGGUACACGAGUGGCGAACGGGCGGGUAACACGCGCGUAACCUACCCUCAUCUCUGGGAUAACAGUCGGAAACGGUUGCUAAUACUGGAUAUGAGCUUGCAAGGCAUCUUGUGGGGUGGAAAGAUUUUUUUGGUUGGGGAUGGAAUAGCGGCCUUUCAGCUUUUUGGUGGGGGUGUGGCUCACCAAGGCGUCGGCGGGUAGCCGGCCUGGGAGGGGGACCGGCCACAAUGGGACUGGGGUUCGGCCCAAACUCCUACGGGAGGGAGGCGUGGGGAAUAUUGCACAAUGGACGGGAGUCUGAUUCAGCAACGCCGCGGGCGGGAUGACGGGCUUCGGGUUGGAAACCGCUUUCAAUUGUGACGAAGCUUUUUGUGACGGUAGCAGUAGAAGAAGCACCGGCUAACUACGUG